rfam:TPA: Bos taurus chromosome 2, whole genome shotgun sequence.
UCCCUGGUAGCUUAGAAGGUAAAGUGUCUGCCAGUAAUGCAGGAGAGCCUGGUUCAAUCCCUGGGUUGGGAA